rnacentral:rRNA from 1 species
UACGUAGGGUGCAGGCGUUAAUCGGAAUUACUGGGCGUAAAGCGUGCGCAGGCGGUUUGCUAAGACAGGUGUGAAAUCCCCGGGCUUAACCUGGGAACUGCGCUUGUAACUGGCAAGCUGGAGUGUGGCAGAGGGGGGUGGAAUUCCACGUGUAGCAGUGAAAUGCGUAGAGAUGUGGAGGAACACCGAUGGCGAAGGCAGCCCCCUGGGCUAACACUGACGCUCAUGUGCGAAAGCCAGGGGAGCGAACGGG